rnacentral:rRNA from 1 species
GACGAACGCUGGCGGCGUGCCUAAUACAUGCAAGUCGAGCGCAGGAAGCUGACGGAACUCUUCGGAGGGAAGGCAGCGGAAUGAGCGGCGGACGGGUGAGUAACACGUAAGGAACCUGCCUCAAGGAUUGGGAUAACUCCGAGAAAUCGGAGCUAAUACCGGAUAGUUCAACGGACCGCAUGGUCCGCUGAUGAAAGGCGCUCCGGCGUCCACUUGAGAUGGCCUUGCGGUGCAUUAGCUAGUUGGUGGGGUAACGGCCCACGAAGGCGACGAUGCAUAGCCGACCUGAGAGGGUGAUCGGCCACACUGGGACUGAGACACGGCCCAGACUCCUACGGGAGGCAGCAGUAGGGAAUCUUCCACAAUGGACGAAAGUCUGAUGGAGCAACGCCGCGUGAGUGAUGAAGGUUUUCGGAUCGUAAAACUCUGUUGUAAGGGAAGAACACGUACGAGAGGAAAUGCUCGUACCUUGACGGUACCUUACGAGAAAGCCACGGCUAACUACGUGCCAGCCGCCGCAGUAA